rnacentral:rRNA from 1 species
UACGUAGGGCGCGAGCGUUGUCCGGAAUUAUUGGGCGUAAAGAGCUCGUAGGCGGCCUGUCGCGUCAAUUGUGAAAGCCCGGGGCUUAACCCCGGGUCUGCAGUCGAUACGGGCAGGCUAGAGUGUGGUAGGGGAGAUCGGAAUUCCUGGUGUAGCGGUGAAAUGCGCAGAUAUCAGGAGGAACACCGGUGGCGAAGGCGGUUCUCUGGGCAUUCCCUGACGCUGAGGAGCGAAAGUGUGGGGAGCGAACAGG